rnacentral:lncRNA from 10 species
CCUGAACUUAGCUGUGUUAAGUUGCCUGCUCCACAGGAAACCACCUCUGUAACUGUUGCUUGCUGCUUUCUCUUUAGGCAACACCCAAAGCCACUGUCAGAUGUCAUGGAGAUGAGACCUCACAAGCCUACUCAACGUGAAGAUGAUGAGAAUGAAGACCUUUAUGAUGAUCUGCUUCCACUUAAAGAAUAAACCCUGAGGUAUCAUGAAGAAAUCCAUAUGCCCUGAAGUUACCAUCCUAGAGACAUCAUUUGGAGAGACUACAGUGCACAGAAGUAGAGAGGCCCAGCUGUGCCUGUCCCCAACUGAUGGAGUCUUCUCAGUGUCAGUCACCAGACAUUUGACUGCAGGUAACUGAAACUGCGGAAAGUGAAACUGCAGAUAAGAGGGACCACUGUAAAUAAGUGACAUGAAUGAUACUGCAAAGGACCAUAGCCUAACCAGCCAAGCAAACUGGAAGUACCUUUAGACUCACGCUUUGCCAAGCUCAGUUCCAGAAUCACAUGAUGAAAAGAAUGAUGGAAAGAAAAUGUUUGUGAUAUUAAAAUUAAGGAAAUUACUCCAACUCAGAGCUUUGAAUCUUGACAGAGUGUUGCAAAGACAGAAGAAAUG